GAUCAGGUCACUGUGUCUUUCUUUAAGAGCAGGAGAUUAACAUGAUCACAAAUCUCCUUAUUCUGGCACUUUGGCUUUUUACUGGUCAAGUGGUUGGAAGUGAUGUUCUCCAGGAGCCUGAUAGGAUCUAUGGUUCUCAAGGGAACUCUGUAGCAAUUAAGUGCAGUCACAAUAAAGAUAUUAGAUACAGACAGAUGUACUGGUUUAAACAGAUUCCAGGGGACGGAAUCACACUCAUCGUGUUCACGGAGGUUGGUGUUGAACCAGAUUAUGGGAAAUUCAGUAAAGACAAAUAUGAAGCAGUAAAGACUGUAGCUGAGAGAGGAACUUUAACGGUGAAGAGUUUGGGUCCAGGAGACAGCGCUCUGUAUCUCUGCGCCGUGAGUCAACACUGUGGUACAAACUCACUACAGCACUGA